rnacentral:misc_RNA from 1 species
CUUAACACAUGCAAGUCAGGGGGAAAGGGGUAGCAAUAUCCCGAGUAUACCGGCGCACGGGUGAGUAACACGUAGGCAAUCUGCCUUUAGGACGGGGACAACUCCGCGAAAGCGGAGCUAAUACCCGAUAAUGCAGCGGCACCGCAUGGUGAUGUUGUUAAAAGCCGAAAGGCGCCUGGAGAUGAGCCUGCGUCCUAUCACGCUUGUUGGUGGGGUAACGGCCUACCAAGG